rnacentral:rRNA from 1 species
GACGAACGCUGGCGGCGUGCUUAACACAUGCAAGUCGAGCGGUAAGGCCUUUCGGGGUACACGAGCGGGGAACGGGUGGGUGACACGUGGGUGAUCUGCCCUGCACUUCGGGAUAAGCCUGGGAAAAUGGGGCUAAUACUGCAUAUGACCUCCUAACGCAUGGUGGGUGGUGGAAAGAGUUAUCGGUGCAGGAUGGGCCCGCGGCCUAUCAGCUUGUUGUUGGGGUGAUGGGCUACCAAGGCGACGACGGGUAGCCGACCUGAGAGGGUGAGCGGGCACACGGGGACUGAGAGACGGAGCAGAGGCCUACGGUAGGCAGUAGGGGGAAAUAUUGCACAACGGGCGCAAGCCUGAUGCGGCGACGCCGCGUGUGGGAUGACGGCCUUCGGGGUGUAAACCGCUUUCAGCUGGGACGAAGCGGAAGUGACGGUACCUACAGAAGAAGCACCGGCUAACUACGUG